rnacentral:rRNA from 1 species
UCGUGUCGUGAGAUGUUGGGUUAAGUCCCGCAACGAGCGCAACCCUUAUCUUUAGUAGCCAGCAGGUGAAGCUGGGCACUCUAGAGAGACUGCCGGGGAUAACCCGGAGGAAGGUGGGGAUGACGUCAAAUCAUCAUGCCCCUUAUGAUUUGGGCUACACACGUGCUACAAUGGCGUAAACAGAGGGAAGCGAGCCCGCGAGGGGGAGCAAAUCCCAAAAAUAACGUCCCAGUUCGGAUUGUAGUCUGCAACCCGACUACAUGAAGCUGGAAUCGCUAGUAAUCGCGGAUCAGAAUGCCGCGGUGAAUACGUUCCCGGGUCUCGUACACACCGCCCGUCACACCAUGGGAGUCGGAAAUGCCCGAAGUCUGUGACCCAACCGUGAGGAGGGAGCAGCCGAAGGCAGGUCGGAUGACUGGGGUGAAGUCGUAACAAGGUAGCCGUAUCGGAAGGUGCGGUUGGAUCACCUC